GUGGGGAAUUUUGGACAAUGGGCGCAAGCCUGAUCCAGCGACGCCGCGUGGAGGACGAAGGCCUUCGGGUUGUAAACUCCUUUUGGAGGGGAAGAAUAAAUUGACGGUACCCUCAGAAAAAGCCACGGCUAACUACGUGCCAGCAGCCGCGGUAAUACGUAGGUGGCGAGCGUUACUCGGAAUUACUAGGCGUAAAGCGUAUGUAGGUGGUUAGAUAAGUCUAUGGUGAAAUUUCCUGGCUUAACUGGGAAGGGACAUAGAUACUAUCUGGCUUGAGUGUGGGAGGGGGAGACGGAAUUCCUGGUGUAGCGGUGAAACGCGUAGAUAUCAGGAGGAACACCGAUGGCGAAAGCAGUCUCCUGGCCCAAUACUGACACUGAGGUACGAAAGCUAGGGUAGCAAACAGGAUUAGAUACCCCUGUAGUCC
rnacentral:rRNA from 1 species